rnacentral:rRNA from 1 species
GGACGAACGCUGGCGGCGUGCUUAACACAUGCAAGUCGAACGGUGAAGGGACCAGCUUGCUGGUUCUGGAUGAGUGGCGAACGGGUGAGUAACACGUGAGUAACCUGCCCCCUUCUUCUGGAUAACCGCAUGAAAGUGUGGCUAAUACGGGAUAUUCUGGGUCUGUCGCAUGGCGGGCCCGGGAAAGAUAUUGCUUCGGUGGGGGAUGGGCUCGCGGCCUAUCAGCUUGUUGGUGGGGUGAUGGCCUACCAAGGCGGUGACGGGUAGCCGGCCGGAGAGGGUGGACGGUCACACUGGGACUGAGACACGGCCCAGACUCCUACGGGAGGCAGCAGUGGGGAAUAUGGCACAAGGGGCGCAAGCCUGAUGCAGCGACGCCGCGUGAGGGAUGGAGGCCUUCGGGUUGUAAACCUCUUUCGCCAGUGAAGCAGGCCUGCUCCUUGUGGGUGGGUUGACGGUAGCUGGAUAAGAAGCGCCGGCUAACUACGUG